UUUCCCUUGUCAAGUGGCUUUGGAAAGAUCCCGUGCCUCUGCUGCACAAAUCUCUCCCUCCCUGCUGGCCCUCCUGUCCUCCCCAUUCUGGUACUUGCAGAAUCACCAAAUUCGCAGCUGUGGAACUCCCAAGUACUCCGUGCUCCCUCCUGCAGGCCAUCACAAGGGUGUGUCACUGUGUCCCCACGCCCACCCCUCUGAGCCGGCUCCUCAGGGUGCCCAUUGCCACUGUCCUCUCACCUGUGCUGCUUUCAGCUGCUCUCUGAGGUUCUGCCACCACCAAGAACUAGCACUUUCCAUUCCCAGUGCAGCUCAGAGGAUGCAAAACUCCCCAGCCAGUGUCUUUGUCUUUGGAGGAAGAGCACAGCUUUUUGUUCUGGAAACAAUAAGAACCACUCCACUGAUCCAUACCUGCUCUUCCUUUUGUUAUUCUUCAGUACCCGUCCUUCCCUUUGGAAACCUCGGAGCCAGGAGCCUCAUCAGCUGCUCUGUGCAAACACACUUUGCUUUGUUCUGCUGUCUGAACACAGAGCCAGAAGAGAGAGAGGCCUGCAGCUUCUGGUGGAUCAGCUGUUGCCAACACACGUGGCCCAGGUAGAGCCUGUGAUUUAUUUAAUAUGUACAGUUACAAUAAUGUCAUUUUGGAAUCAGUCUCAUGAGACAGAUAUGAACAAAAGGGUAACAUUUGGAGGAGGAGAAUUCCUGAUUUGUGCUCAGACAGAAGAAAUUCUCCUUCUCUGCUACCUUGGCAAUAACACAAUAAGGGAGGAAAACAAAAUCAUUCACAUUCCCAACUCCCUCCUCUUCAAUAGCACCAACAUAUAUUUUGAAGAGCCUCAGUGCAGGUUUUUACUGCAGAAAAUAAAGAAUGAAUUGUGUCCCCCCUGAACAGCAGCAAGAGAACAUCCUGACUGCCUCCAGCCUCAGCUGCUCACUUCCUGCUUGCUGAGCCUUCUGGCUUGACCAAGCCACAGCACAAACACAUUUGGCACCAGCCAACUCCUUCAUUGCUGAAGGACACAUCCAAGACCUCCACAUCUUGAACUCCAGCAGCUCCUGCAGUCCCUGCUUAGCUGGGGGCAGGGGGUGCUUGGCUGGACCGGGAUUGCUGGAACGUCCCUUCCCCAGCUCCCUGCACUGCCAAAGGCAGCCCGGGGCAGGCACAAGGAGCCAGAGCAGGCCGAGACAGCUUUUAACACAUUCAGAUAGUGCUACAGCCAGUUAUAGACUGUGAGAAAUGACUGCUCACUUUAAAAGUUUCAAAGGCUUAUUAAUCCAUUACAAAUACAACAAAGGACAGAAUAAGGAAAACCAGCAAUGCUGACAGCAUGACCGACUACCACAAACUCGGCCACAAAAUGGCUGCUCCGCCUUUUAAACCCCUGGAGGUGCAGCCAACCCUGGCCCCUCCCAAGCCUGUCAGUCAACUCUUCUCUGCCACCCAUUGGUGGAGAUCAUUUCUUGCAAGUUGAUUGGAGGUCAGGUGUUGCCAUGCCACGCCCCCCAGCAACAAGCCCAUUCGCACUUGGGCCUCACAGCCAGGGAGGGGAGGGGGCACUUUGGGGAGAGCAAACAGCGAACUGCAAUAUCGGAACCGUACAUCAACAAAACUUCUCAUAACGCACACGCGAUAGUCAUUCCUUAAUUGUGAGAGCCAAUCAUCGCAUUACCCAUCUAUAACACAGACCCAAAGGCCUCACAUAUGUUUUUCUCCUGCAGGAGAAGCCAAAGCCCCUGGGUGUCAUUAGCAAGUGGCUGCAGGGCUGAGGGACAGCUCAGGGGCUGCGUGUGAGCUGCUGCUCCCAGAUCUCUCCUUCCCUCAGCAGGAGCUGGCUCUGACCAAAAGUCUCCACUCCUUGAAGCCAGGAAGCUGUGUCCUUGGGUGAGGAGGAUCAGGAAAGGACAAGGUGGGGAAAAAUACGAGCGGUGAGCUCAACACCAAGUGUGUGAUUUCCACAGAGGCCCCUCAGAUGCUUCCAAUCCUGGUGGUUUUUGGAGGGAGGGCAUCAUUUUGAGUAUUGAUUCAAAUGACCUCCACCAUUAAUCUUUGCAAGGGAUUUUUUUUUAUUCCUCCAAGAGAACAGGCAAUUUUAGCCACCGCAUCAUCCUGGGGGGAGAGGGACGUGGACAGCUUUGAAGGCACCCAGCUCAAAGCCCGAGUUAUUCUCCUUGCUUUUCCCUCACCACCUCAGCAGCAAGAACACAUAAAUUGUGUGUCAUAGCUGCCUUUUCAUCUGUCCCAGGAGUUAUAGACUGCACACAUAAGACAAUUCGUGUUCCUCUGCAUAAUGAGGUGCCGAGAGCGAUGCCCCAAAGAGUCCCCACUAGUGGCUUCUCUCCAGUUUCACAAUACCAUCAGAAAUCCAUUACCAAAUGCAUAAAAACCCAUGGAUUUUUAAUAAAAUGAGCCCCCUAAAGCUCAGAAAACAGCCUGGAUGUCUCCAUAAAUCCUGAUGCAUGUGAUUAAAGAAAACAGAGCAAGAGCAUGCCUCAAUUCAUCACAGGGUCAUUUUGGACAUCCACUAUU